rnacentral:rRNA from 1 species
UACGUAGGGGCAAGCGUUGUCCGGAUUUAUUUGGGCGUAAAGAGCGUGUAGGCGGUUUGGUAGGUCCGCUGUGAAAACUCGAGGCUCAACCUCGAGACGCCGGUGGAAACCAUCAGACUAGAGUCCGGAAGAGGAGAGUGGAAUUCCUGGUGUAGCGGUGAAAUGCGCAGAUAUCAGGAGGAACACCGAUGGCGAAGGCAGGUCUCUGGGCCGAUACUGACGCUGAGGAGCGAAAGCGUGGGGAGCGAACAGG